AUCUCCUUCCUAUCAACAUCUUCCCACUCUUCCCAUAUUCCUGUUCCGUCCCUUCCCAAAAUCGCCUUCCAUUUCUUCCCUCCAGCCCUUUCCUCCUCUCAUACUUUCCUCUACCAUACUUUGAGGUCAGCCUUUUCCCCCUUUCAAUACUUCCCUUUUGCCUCUUCCCCUCUUUCUCUACGUCCCUUCCGCCCCUUCCCCUUCCCAAUACUUCUCUUCACUUUCGUCUACGGACCCUAAACAUUACUUUCCAUACGGGUUUAAUCUCUCUAACCUGUCUUUUGGGUAUAGUUUACAGACACUUACUCACUCGUUCACUCGCUAUAUCGUCCACUCUUUCUACUUCCUACCUUCCUUUUAUCUUUCCCUUUCCUUCCCCAGUCAUUGUUUCUACCUCAUCCCUUCCCUUUCAUGUUCCCUUUUCCUCUUCCACUCACUCAUUCACUCUUUCCACCUCCUCCCUCCCCUUUAUGUUCCGUCAAUGGCUGUACGCCCACCCUUCCUCUUCCACGCACUCGCUCUCCGCCCUUCCUUUCAAACUGGGCGCUGAGGUUGCUGAGACAAAAGGUUUAUUUUUUUGCAUUGCCAGGUACGUGAUGCAUCCAGGAACCCAGGAACACUCCCUCCCUCCCUCCUUCCCUCUCCCCCUCCUCCCUGCUUUUCCACGCCGCUGCAGGACAAAGCCAAGCCACUCACCGUGUUCAUUUUGGCGAGUUUUUCACGGUUAAACACACUAUCCCGCACCUCCAGCGACGCGCAGAUACAUAUCGCGAAUCAUAAUUACAUUCUGCAGCGCCGCACAACAGCUCAACUUAAGCACGGCGGACAAAAAACGUAAUCAGGAGGAUGGGCGACACGGCGAUAGCGAUCGACAAACCAGCCGAGGAGACUCGAGGUGCCUGGACGGACCGGCCGCCGCCCGCCCCUCGCACCUGCCACUUCGCCGGCCACUUCUGCUGCCUGAGAAUAAACACUUCCUGACGCGAGGGAGCCCUGGCCGUGCACGAGGCGGCGGGGCAGCAGACAUCUCACAGCCAGGAAGAAGGGGCGAGCGUGUGCCUUCACGCCUCAGUCGGCCCCUCAUCUUAAUCUGAACAUAUACUUUUGGACACCGACACAAGGUACCCUGCACUGCCUCAUCGCCCACACUCCCGAUAUGGGCACACACACACACACACACACACACACACACACACACACACACACACACAGUGUUGUAUAAUGUUCAGAUACAUUGAGUGUUUUCUCUUUACAUUUAAUAUACGGCACAGCACUACCCGUGGAUUGAAACGCUCUGAUUAAGGUUCAGUUUUUGGGCGGCUGUAAUUGUUUUCUCGCCCAUCGGAGCGCGACCGUUGCCGCGGCCCCGCAGCGCGGCACCACGAGCGUAGCAUAGCGACACAAAGCGACAAGGCGGCCGUGCGACCCUGCCUCCAGGACGCGGCGGUCGCCUUGCCGGCAAGGAUUCCGCAAAUCCAGCUUCCUGGUUACGUCAGGAGCGCCGUGUUAGACAAUACGCAGAGCAGUUUGUCAUCCUGGAUCACCUGUCCGCAGCGCCAGGGUCGCACACACGCGAGCAGGCACACACGCACGCACGCAUGCACACGUAUCCGGCCGGCCAGCUCGUAAACAACGAGGGCUGUCUUUGCCCUUCAGCUCACCCGGUCUGAGACACCUCGGCACCCAGGCCCAGGCGCCCGCCUCCUGCUCCACUCAGGUCACUGUGGCCACGCGCUGCCUCAUGCAUCUUACAUCAGACGCGAGAGUGCAAACUGCUGCUGCGGCAUAAUGACGUCCUCACUCAUGUUCAAGCUGCCCGCCGCUCAUCCACCCGCCUGGCGACGAACACUGGUCACCCGUCGAGCACAAGGCGCCACAUCCACGCCCCGGCCCGGCCCUUCUCGCCCUGGGCCGCCUCAUCCACGCCACGCCGCCGCCACGGGUACAAACUCUUCUCGCUCAUCACGUGCGGCCCGUCCGGUUACUUAACGAAGCCUCGUCCCCGGUAGCUGCCGCGCCUCCACCCCACGCUGCAGGGACCCGCACGCUACGAGGCUCCGCGCCAGGAGCUGCUCAAUUAGGAGCAAAUUACUCCCGUGAAGCAACUGACACCUCUCGGAGGAUAAGCGAGGUGAUGACGCGAUUACAGGAAAAGUGAUGCUAUCACGGCUGUCCUUCCCCGCCUGAAUGCCCCGUAAUGAGCGCUGGUGCCACUCACGGCCGGGCCGUGGCUAAUGCGGCCACAGGAACCGUGCUUCGGCUGUACUGCAGAAUGCCUUGCCUCGGGCGCGGCUGCCGUGGUGUAUCUUGCCAACAACCCUGGCUACCGGCUCUCAGCACAAGACACACUUAAGUUGGACUGACUGUGUACUGUGCUGAGAUGAAGACACUUGGUUACUGACCCUCGGCGCUAUGGCAGGCACGCAAACCGGCCUCAACAAUGCCAUGUAAUGAGAAACAGACACGUGGCUACCGACCAUCAGUACUAGCAACACAUUGAAGGCGGUGUAGCUGCGGGGUUUACUAACAGACACGGGCAACCGACAAUCAACAACAACAACACACUGGUGACGGUGUAUAUAUAGCUGUGGUGUUUACUGACAUCCACAUGGCCGCCGACCCUGACUGUUGCACAAGCAGACACAUUGAGUUUAACAUACUGGCUUAACUGUGGGCUUCACCGAGAGGAAGACUCACACACAUUAAUGCAAAUUGCUCCAACACGACCAACGGACAAACGAUGACUAUAUAAUACGAUGCAGCACCAAAAACGGAAACCGGUAACUAAGUGAGAUAAUCGUCCUCUUCAUAUGCUUGUAAAUAAACGGCUCCAGGUAAAUAGACCCGUAAGAAACUCGUUCAGCUUCCUGUCACAAUAUCUUCCCCCAUCUUCAGGAGCUAUGGGGUAAAAAGUACAUUCCAUAGUGAAUACCUUGGCUACAACCAGGGCGGCGACAAAAACCAGAGCAGCAGAAGCCACCACCACCCUCUUCUGUACCCGUUCCUGCUGACACCACCGACGCCACCCUCCACGCCGGGGGCCAAGGAGGCGCAGACACCGGCCUAAGACAGGGAGGGACUCUGGACAUGUGUUUUGACGGGGUUGAAGGAGGAAAAGGAGGAGGAAUAGAGCGAAAACAAGGAUCACGGGCCACCUCUUUGGAUUCUUUUUGGGAGCAGCGAGUAGCGGGCUAUUUUUUUGUAUUAUUGUUUACUUUUUUGUGCUAUUGAGCUGUAUCCUUUGUUGUUAAGAAAAAGGAAGAAAAGGAGAAUUAAAAAGAGAAGAGAGGUGGAAAAAGGAAAGACGAGGAUGAGGAAGAAUACGAAGAGGAAAAGGGGUAAAGGAAGUAAGGGAGGAUUAAAAUUAGAAUGAAAUGGAUAAAGAAAAAACGGGAGAAUGAAUGAAAGCGAAGAUAAGAAAUACGAAAGGUAGAAAAUCGAUGAGGGAGGGAAAGAGAGAGGGAGAAACGAUGACAGGGCAAUGGCGGUGAUGAGGAGGACAAAGAUUAAAGAUGAAAAGGAAAAGAAGAAAAUGAUUGAAGACAGCGGACAGAGGAAAGAAAAGACUGCAAUAAAGAUGAAAAGGAAAAGAAGAAAAAGAGAAUGAUUGAAGAGAACGGACAGAGGAAAGAAAAGACUGCAAUAAAGGAAAGGUGAGGAUGAGGACUAAUACGAAGAGGAGGAAGAGGAAAGGAAGAAAAGGAGAAAGAUUAAAAGGAGAACGAAAUGAAGAAAAAAUGGAGAGGAAUGAAAGGGAAGACGAGGAUAAGGACUAAUAAGAAGAGGAGGAAGACGAUGAAAGGAGGGAGGUGGAAGAUAUUAUAAUACAAGGAUGAGGAGGAAGAGGAUGAGGACGAGAAUGGAAACAAGGAUAAAUAUUAAGACGGAAUGAGGGAGGACGCUGAAAAGGGGCGGAAGACGAGGAGGAGGAGGAGGAGGAGGAGGAGGAGGCGGCGGAGGGACCUUGGUGGAGCGGGGCCGCGCCGCCGGAGGGGAGUAGAUCCGCGUUCCACAUCCGGAAUCGCAAGCUUAGCGGACCUGGCAGUUUUUUCUCCUUUAUACAACCCCCAAAAAUAUGGUUCAAGGUUCAGCUCGCCGCGGCUCACCUCUGCACCUCGCGUCCCGCCUCGCCCGGCCUCGCUCGCGUGCGCCGCCGAGGCUUGCUAUUCCGCGGGGCCCUGCUGCCUCCCUCCCCUCCCCCCCUCUCUCUCCUGGUGUUAUCUCACAUCCAUCUCAGUCCCCGUUAAGGCCACGCAGGCGCGGCUGUAUCCUUCUCGUAACACAGCGUCGCCUUGGCAAUGUCCUGAACUCACACAAAACCACAGACUCCUGAUUCCAUAACAAUGCUGAGAUUGAUCAUCAUCUGCAUAUGUAAUAACCAAAAACAACAACAACAACAACAACAACAUAAUAAUAAUAAUAAUAAUAUUUUUGCAAUAUUAUUACUAUCAUUAUUGUUAUUAUCCUUGUAAUAACUCUUCUCAUCCUUAUGGAGUCAGGGUCGCCCUCAUUAUGUCAUCAAGGCGGCGGGUUCUCAGUGAGUCCGCCAAGACGCCACACACAAAAACUCACGCGGCCAGACCACUCUUGUUUUCCUGUACGGCAACCUUCAGCGGCCACGGCCACACAGCCGCUGGCUCAUUACGCCUGUAGCGUCUUCGGCCGCCGCCACGUGCCGCACACGUCCGCCGGACCGCGUCCCAUAGGCCUGCCCUCUGUAGGCAGCGGGAGUCCUGAGGAGUGCCCGGCACCGGGCCCGGGCACGGGUAGUAAGUAACCUUUACGCGGGGGCAAGGCGGCUGGAAAUUUCCAGAUACUCGUCUCGUAGGUUAUGAGGCUGCGCAGUUUUCAUCUUUUUUUCCCCCUCCCAUCAAACGCUGUAAAAAAGGGGCGAGUAUUUAAGACAAAUGAUAUGUGAGGUGAGACAGGUGUGCCGUUACGGGGCGGCUGCGCGGCGGCCGUGGGCCAGCGAAGAUCCGGCUAUCAGGAGCGGCCGCCGGACAGCUGGCCUCCACCAACCUCGGGACGCCCUUGCCGAGCUCCUCGCGCCUUGCCAGCUCACCGCCGCACCGUCCACACCAGCCGAGGCCAGGCUGGCGAGAGGACCCGUAAGAGCUCCGUGUGAAGGCGAGGAGACAGGUCGUCCGGGCUGCCACUCCUGGCGAGGCUGCCGCGACCCCGCCCUUGCACGGCACUUCGGGAUGUCCGGAUCGACUCCCUUGGGAUUUCCGCAUGCCGUCCCUGAGUUCAGUAAAGUAUUUGCACGACGCAGGCGGUGCUGGUGUUAGUCGGGCGCCACCAGCGGCCCCAGGCACACCUCUCCGCCGCGGCUGAAGAGGCGCCUUGCGUGUUGCACCAGGGCGGCCUGCACCAACGAAGCUCGUGUGACCCAAGUCGGCGACCAGCGGCCUGCACCACCACCGAUGCUGUUGACGACGCCUCUCUCGCGGCCCGGCGGCGGCGCGACUCUGAGAGGAGGAUGCCCCGCCCUAUCCCGCCCCGCCCCGUUCGUCCCUCCGUCUGCGCGGUGAGUGGAGGCUAAAGCAAUGGAGACACUUCCUCGGGUUCAACAAACGCGCCGAUCGAAGGCGGAGUCACCAGUCACCAGGCCAGUCAUCCUCACCACAACCCCAGACACCACCGCAUUCAUCACCACCACUACGGCAGGACACCCGACAACUCCAAGCCUCCCACGGCACCCCAGCUACACAGCCACAGCAGCGACGGGGUGAAUAAAACAAGAUGAACCCGAAGAAGAUUAAGAAAAACAUCACCACAUCGAUACAGCUGUCAACUCCCAGCCUUCCAAAGCACCCCAGCUAUAAAAAAAAAUACCACUGCAGCGACGGAGUGAAGGAAACCAUAUGGAAGCAAUAUAAGUAACUUUAAAUUCAUUAUUAAACA